GAUUUCCUGUCGACUGAUCUGCAGAGCCUGCGACCCUUGAAAAGUACUGAUGUAUUUAUUGUCUGUCUGUGUAACAGGUGUGAGUGUAUUCCUGUGUCAGAAAGUUGAAGCCAGAAGACCUGGCAGGGAGGGGACUCAGGACUUCAACCUGCUGCUCGGUGGCCACACAGCUGUCAACCCUAUGUGCUGGGACUUAGCUUGGGGCAUGGAUCUGAGGACAUAUGAGAGCCAGUGAAGAGGCUGAGAACCCCAAAGCUUCCUCCAGAGACUGGAAAAAGUGUGGCCAGAUCCUGGCCACAAGGACAACAGCACUGGACAUGUCACACAAUACUAGUAACUGGGUAUGGUAGCUCACAUCAGCAAUCUCAACGCGUGGGAGACAGAGACAGGAAGAUUACAGCAAGUUCUAUGCCAGCCUGGGCUAUACGAAACUUGCCUGACUGAAUCCUCCCCUCCCUACCUGCUGGAGCAGGUCUGCGAUCUCCAUCAUUUCCUCACCAGUUGGUGGACGGACAUGCCUGUCAUGGACAGUUGUUUUUACCGAGAGAAAAAGGUAGCAAGAAAGAGCAUCUUGUCAGGCGACAGGGUUUCCCCCUGUUAGUGAAGGCUGCCCAUCUACCAAGUUCCUUGAGUCCCUGUGGAGUUCUAUCCCUGUUAAGACCUGGACAGGGAGGAUGAAGCGAGAUACCCUGUUCUCCCAGCCAAUUCCAUGCAGACCUGGGCUUUGCAUCUGUCUGUUGUGUGCACGUGCAAGUCACAGCCUCGUCACACUGUGUGACUGGAGACAGAGACGGGCCUCUUCCAGGACAAGCAGAUGACCAAGGGGCUUCAGUUAUAGGAAAGGAUGCCACGUAGGAUCGGGAAGGGCGGUGUGUGUCCUCUGUAGAACCCUUGCUUCUGGGGCAAGGUGCCCUGUAAGUCUGUGAUCUCUAUUGUGGCCUGGGGGGUGUCUGAGGAGGGCGGGGUCACAGGUGUGGGUGGUGGGCGAGGCAGGGUCUCUCUGUCGGCCCCCACCCCAUGUGGGGACAGGCCACCUGCUUCACGACAAGAGACAAGACGUUCACUUUUCUGCUUCCAAUUUCACACCUCAACCUUUGAACUUUGGACCUGUGGUUUAUUAAUAAUGUGAUUACCUGGUAGGAGGGAAAUGCCAAGACACUUAUCUUUCCCCUACGGGACAGCCCCACCCAACUGUCAGGCGUGUUCCCCUGGGCCUUGGUUCCUCCCCAGCACCCAC
rnacentral:lncRNA from 1 species